AAUCUUUGAUGAUGAAAAUGUAUGUUCUAAUAGUAUUCAUAAAAUAAAUAAUAAAAUUCAACCCGUUAUGUUAAUUAAGUUUCAUUCACAUAUUUGAGAAUUUAUUGAAUAGUAUUUAUAUUGAGAAUUAGCGAGUAGAGAAAUCAUAUUUUUACACGAUUUGCAAAGUGUCAUAAAAACGUCAACCAUUGUGUAAGUGGGAUAGGAAACGCAAAACAAAGCACGUACAUAUACGUACAUAGCAAUUCUAUACAUAGUGCAAUUCUUAAGUUUAACAAAUCUUGAAUACCGUAACCACCGUUGCACAAGAGUGCUGUAUUUAUUAAAACAUAUCAUUGUAGAGGUUACUAUUUAUUUGCAUUAUUAAAAAUGUGGAUUUAUAUCUUACUUGUUAUUUUCUCUACGUUCGAUUUUGCGGCGGCAUCAUCCGGUUUUGAUUUCGGCGAUGCCUUAGCUUUAAUUCUCGGAUUAAUUAUCGGUAUUAUUGGAUUCUUUGCUUGCAUGGGUGCCCAUGCAAGACGACGAAAUAAUUUACAACGAAUAUGAUUGCAAACCACUCCGGAAUUUGUCCCAUAGGUAUCUGAGGAAUAUAAAAUUAAGGAAGAAAAUGCUUCAAUUUAAACUUUUUGAAUAUUAAUCGUACAAUAUUUUUAUACGUUCGUUAGCGAAAUAACAAGUAUCAAUAUCAUGAUUAUUUUUAUAAACUUAAAGUAUAUUAUUAAGAAGUGAUUAAUUAUUUGUAAUAGUAAUAUUGUAAGGCAAUAUUCAUAACAUAAUGUAAUUGUUAAAUAAAAUAUAAAAAUAGUUAAUAAAAGAAAUUAGAAGAAGAA